GACGUAGGGCGCGAGCGUUGUCCGGAUUUAUUGGGCGUAAAGAGCUCGUAGGCGGCUUGUCGCGUCGUUCGUGAAAACCCGGGGCUCAACUCCGGGCUUGCGGGCGAUACGGGCAGGCUAGAGUUCGGUAGGGGAGACUGGAAUUCCUGGUGUAGCGGUGAAAUGCGCAGAUAUCAGGAGGAACACCGGUGGCGAAGGCGGGACUCUGGGCCGAUACUGACGCUGAGGAGCGAAAGCGUGGGGAGCAAACAGG
rnacentral:rRNA from 1 species